rnacentral:miRNA from 1 species
UGCUCCGUCAGACCCAUCAGCA